AUGGCCCUGCAGAUGACAAUACAGCUGCUGCUCCUUCUAGUGGGGGUGGCUGCAGAAGGGGGGCCUGGCACAGGACUACUUGGGCUAGGACUGAGCUUCUCAAUGUCUGUAUGGAUGCCAAGCACCACAAGGAAAACCCGGGGGAUGAGGACAACUUGCAUGAUCGGUGCAGUCCUUGGAAGAAGAAUGCCUGCUGCUCCGCCAACAUCAGCCAGGAAGCCCCCAAGGAUAAUUCCCACCUGUAUAACUUCAAUUGGGACCACUGUGGAGUGAUGGAGUCCAUCUGCAAACAGCAUUUCACCAGGACACCUGCCUGUGAGUACUCUCCUAACUUGGGGCUCUGGAUCCAGCAGGUGGACCAGAGCUGGCAAAAAGGGCGGGUCCUGAAUGUGCCCCUGUGCAAAGAGGACUGUGAGCACUGGUGGGAGCACUGUCGAACCUCCUAUACCUGCAAGAGCAAUUGGCACAAGGGCUGAACUGGCACUCAGGGCAUAACCAUUGUCUAAUGAAAGCUGCCUGCCUCCCCUUCCAUUUCUACUUUCCCACACCUGCUGCUCUGUGCAAUGAAAUCUGGAGUCACUCUUACAAAGUCAACAACUACGGCCAAGGGAGAGACCCUUGCCUCUAGAUGUAGUUUAACCCAAACCACGGCAACCCCAAUGAGAAGGUGGCAAGUGGGGCUGGGCUGCAUGGAGCCUGGGCUUCCCUGCUCAGCCUGGCCCUCAUGCUCCUCCUGCUACUCUGCUGACCUUCUUUGCCCUCUGAUAGCUGAACAUCCCUGCCCUGUUUGGCCCCACAG